GUACGUUUGUGUGUAAAUAGUGUUCAGCACCAAGGACAGGUACGUUUGUGUGUGAAUAGUGUUCCGCACCAAGGACAGGUACGUUUGUGU
rnacentral:pre_miRNA from 1 species